rnacentral:rRNA from 1 species
UACGUAGGGCGCGAGCGUUGUCCGGAUUUAUUGGGCGUAAAGAGCUCGUAGGCGGCUUGUCGCGUCGACUGUGAAAACCCGCGGCUCAACUGCGGGCCUGCAGCCGAUACGGGCAGGCUAGAGUUCGGUAGGGGAGACUGGAAUUCCAGGUGUAGCGGUGAAAUGCGUAGAUAUCUGGAGGAACACCGGUGGCGAAGGCGGCAUCCUGGACCGGUAUUGACGCUGAGGCGCGAAAGCGUGGGUAGCAAACAGG